GACGAACGCUGGCGGCGUGCUUAACACAUGCAAGUCGAACGGAAAGGCCCUGCUUUUGUGGGGUGCUCGAGUGGCGAACGGGUGAGUAACACGUGAGUAACCUGCCCUUGACUUUGGGAUAACUUCAGGAAACUGGGGCUAAUACCGGAUAGGAGCUCCUGCUGCAUGGUGGGGGUUGGAAAGUUUCGGCGGUUGGGGAUGGACUCGCGGCUUAUCAGCUUGUUGGUGGGGUAGUGGCUUACCAAGGCUUUGACGGGUAGCCGGCCUGAGAGGGUGACCGGCCACAUUGGGACUGAGAUACGGCCCAGACUCCUACGGGAGGCAGCAGUGGGGAAUAUUGCACAAGGGGCGGAAGCCUAAUGCAGCAACGCCGCGUGCGGGAUGACGGCCUUCGGGUUGUAGACCGCUUUCGCCUGUGACGAAGCGUGAGUGACGGUAAUGGGUAAAGAAGCACCGGCUAACUACGUG
rnacentral:rRNA from 1 species